UAUUUGUCAAUUUGCUCAUCAACCACACGUGUGGCCUUCUUUUUCAGAUUUUAUAUUUUAAUUUUUUUUCUUCUCCCUCACACCACCAAAACACAUGUGAAAUUCCUAAUCUCAACCCAAAACACAGUUCAAUCUCCUCCACCGCCGUUCUCUGAUUUCACCUUCAUUCAACCUUCUCCUCAGAUUCGUUCAACCUUCAGCUUCAAUCUUCAAAAUCCAGGUUUUGUAGGUUCUUCUACUGCCGGAAGUGAGUCAACCAGUUUGACGUUACACAAGUUCCUUGAUAAGCAUAGCUUAUUGUUUUGCAGAAGUCUUUUCAAAGCUUUAUAAAUUUAAAUCAUGAAAGAUAAGGCAUGUUUGGUUGAUCUGUUUCUAUGCUUGGAGCCUUUCAUCAGUUGUAUUUUUUGGCCUGCAUCUAUCCGCUAUUAAGACAGCCGAUUACAAACAACAGUUGCUUGUCAAAAUAAAACAAUUGCCGCAAGCUAAACAUGGAAAUAUAGAUAUGGAUCCAACAGAUUUGAAUGAACGAAAUCCUUCUAUUGGUAAUACUACUCAUGGAAGUAAUGCAAAUGAUGGUACACAUGUUGAUGAGUAUAUUGAUGAUUUUUGAAUGUAGAACAUAAAGAAUUAUUUAAAGUACGAUAUGUAGGCACCUUAAAGUUAUUAAAACCGUUAACAUUUUGGAUGUAUUGAUGACUUUGAUAUUAUGUAAUGUGAGAUACUUAUGUUUAUGAUGGAAAAA